rnacentral:rRNA from 1 species
UGCCUGGUCCACGGUCGCAAGGCCGCGCGUAUCGGAGUACGUCUGCCAUCCUUCUAGUUAACUGGCUAUACUUAACUGUGUGGUCAGCAACCUAGAUCUUUUACUUUGAAAAAAUUAGAGUGUUUAAAGCAGGCUCGCGCUGUGAAUACAUUAGCAUGGAAUAAUAAUUUAGGACUUUGCUUCUAUUUUAUUGGUUUCUAGGGGUAAAGUAAUGAUUGAUAGGGAUAGUUGGGGGUGCUAGUAUUCAUCGGCCAGAGGUGAAAUUCUUGGAUUCGAUGAAGACUAACUUAUGCGAAAGCAUUCACCAAGGAUGUCUUCUUUAAUCAAGAACGAAAGUUGGGGGAUCGAAGACGAUCAGAUACCGUCGUAGUCUCAACCAUAAACUAUACCGACUAGGGAUUAGUGGAAGUUGCUAUAUCGACUCCAUUAGCACCUUAUGAGAAAUCAGAAGUCUUUGGGUUCUGGGGGGAGUAUGGUCGCAAGGCUGAAACUUAAAGGAAUUGACGGAAGGGCACCACCAGGAGUGGAGCCUGCGGCUUAAUUUGACCCAACACGGGGAAACUUACCAGGUCCGGACAUAGUGAGGAUUGACAGAUUGAAGUUCUUUCUUGAUCCUAUGGGUGGUGGUGCAUGGCCGUUCUUAGUUGGUGGAGUGAUUUGUCUGGUUAAUUCCGUUAACGAACGAGACCUCGACCUGCUAAAUAGUAUGACGUAGGCUCUGUCUAUGGACAUGACUUCUUAGAGGGACUGUCGGUUUUUAGCCGAAGGAAGUUCGAGGCAAUAACAGGUCUGUGAUGCCCUUAGAUGUUCUGGGCCGCACGCGCGCUACACUGAUACGUGCAUCGAGCUUACAACCUUGGCUGGGAGGCCUGGGUAAUCUUUGAAAAGCGUAUCGUGCUGGGGAUAGAUUAUUGUAAUUAUUAAUCUUCAACGAGGAAUUCCUAGUAAGCGCGAGUCAUCAACUCGCACUGAUUACGUCCCUGCCCUUUGUACACACCGCCCGUCGCUGCUACCGAUUGAAUGCAUUAGUGAGCUUGAGGGAUCGUUUAGCUUGAGGGUCAAACUUCGAGUUAAGUGAGAACUCACGCAAACUUGCGCAUUUAGAGGAAGCAAAAGUCGUAACAAGGUUUCCGUAGGUGAACCUGCGGAAG